CUAAUACAUGCAAGUCGAGCGCGGGAAGCAAGCAGAUCCCUUCGGGGUGACGCUUGUGGAACGAGCGGCGGACGGGUGAGUAACACGUGGGCAACCUGCCUGUAAGACUGGGAUAACUCCGGGAAACCGGGGCUAAUACCGGAUAGAGUUUCCUCUCGCAUGAGAGGAAACGGAAAGGCGGCUUCGGCUGUCACUUACAGAUGGGCCCGCGGCGCAUUAGCUAGUUGGUGGGGUAACGGCUCACCAAGGCGACGAUGCGUAGCCGACCUGAGAGGGUGAUCGGCCACACUGGGACUGAGACACGGCCCAGACUCCUACGGGAGGCAGCAGUAGGGAAUCUUCCGCAAUGGACGAAAGUCUGACGGAGCAACGCCGCGUGAACGAAGAAGGUUUUCGGAUCGUAAAGUUCUGUUGUUAGGGAAGAACAAGUACCGUUUGAAUAAGGCGGUACCUUGACGGUACCUAUCGAGAAAGCCCCGGCUAACUACGUGCCAGCAGCCGCGGUAAUACGUAGGGGGCAAGCGUUGUCCGGAUUUAUUGGGCGUAAAGCGCGCGUAGGCGGUUUCUUAAGUCUGAUGUGAAAUCUUGCGGCUCAACCGCAAGCGGUCAUUGGAAACUGGGGAACUUGAGUGCAGAAGAGGAGAGUGGAAUUCCACGUGUAGCGGUGAAAUGCGUAGAGAUGUGGAGGAACACCAGUGGCGAAGGCGA
rnacentral:rRNA from 1 species